rnacentral:rRNA from 1 species
UACGGAGGGUGCAAGCGUUAUCCGGAUUCACUGGGUUUAAAGGGCGCGUAGGUGGGUUGGUAAGUCAGUGGUGAAAUCUCCGAGCUUAACUUGGAAACUGCCAUUGAUACUAUCAAUCUUGAAUAUUGUGGAGGUCAGCGGAAUAUGUCAUGUAGCGGUGAAAUGCUUAGAUAUGACAUAGAACACCAAUUGCGAAGGCAGCUGGCUACACAAAUAUUGACACUGAGGCACGAAAGCGUGGGGAGCAAACGGG